UUUCUCCUUGUGCCGUCCAUCUGUUUUUUUUUUUUCGUACGUACUCUUACUUCUUAAUACCAUGAUUAGUAUAUUCCCAUCAAGGUAAGGUACGUAUGAGUACGUA
rnacentral:ribozyme from 1 species